UUUCUGCGUUACCUGCUUGCAAUUAUAGUGCAAAUUCUGCCCUAAAGCAACCAAUAAUCACCCACAUGAAAACCAUAUAGUACUUCCCGUUUACAAGGCUUCGCGCGAGAACUGUUUGCAUGCAAAUCAGGUGUCCAAGUUACUUGAUAUCUCAGACAUACAUCCUUUCAUUAUUAAUCAUAAACAAGUAGUUUUCAUCAACAGAAGAUCAUGUCAACAAACCAAGUCUCAGAGUAAUAAAUCUUGCUACACAUGCAAGACCUGUGGAAGAGAAUUCCAAAGAGAGAGUAAGUUCUGCUCAGUCCAGUGCAAGAGCGAAAGUGGUGAGAAUUUAGAGCUGAAACAAAAAC